AGACAGCGGGUCCUGCUCGGCCUGAGACUGAAGGGCGCCGGGCGUCUGCGGAGGCGGGGGAAGCUCGGGGCUUCACCGGGGGGCAGCUGCCCGGGGGUCUCUCUCCCCCAGUUCUCCUGGCCCUGGAGGGAGCCAUCCGCCGCACAAAAUCCCUUCUGAACCGCGAUGCUUUUUAUAGCAGUCCUCGCACAACUGCCUCUGGACCUGCUUUUACUAGGGGGUGCGGGGACUGAGAGGGUAACUUUUCCUGUGGCACAGGAGGAAUUUGGCCCGGAGGCUGCUGGUCAUGUUACUGGAACUGUGUGGGCUGGGCCGGGGGAGCCCCAACAAGGACCUGGCCAGAACCAGGAGCAGCAGCGACAGCGCCCGCCUGGCCUCGCUCACACAGGCCGUUUACACCCCUCGGGCGUGCUCAGGCAGACCCCCAAACAAGUCUACAAUGACGCUGGCGUUCUGCCUUGCACUUGAAAUCUGAUCCACAGCAAGAAGGACCUCACCAGAUGCUGGCACCUUGAUGUUGGACUUCCCAGCCUCCAGAACUGAGGAAAUAAAUUUCUAUUCUUUAUAAAUUACCAAGUCUGUAGUAUCCUGUUACAGCAACAUGAAACAUACUAAGAUAAUCUUUCAGAGCUCAUUUCUUCUUACAGAGAUUUUAAGAAGUACUUAUUUCAAGCGUUUUCCUAUGAGAUUAUAAUGAAAUUAUCCAUGUAAUGGUACUUUGUGGCGGGCCGGGAGCUCAGCAAAUACCAGCUUUUUUCACAAGCCCACAGCUCUUGGAAAACAGAACACUAUUUAACUAAAAUGAAAUGAAAUAAGCACCUUUGUCCAAAAGCUCAUUCUCCUUUAUUUGAAAAGGAGCUCUAUUUCAGAUUAUUUUUCAGUUAGCUUUUUGAGAACUGAUCAGCUUACACAAAAAGUUCAGCCAUUGCAGGAAACCUAGGAAAUGAAGGAAUUCACAUGCUAAAAAUAAAAAGAGUUUCAGCCAAUGUUAACCUGAAUAGGUAUUAUAUUAUUUCACUUGGGUCUUUUCCUCCAA